CGCUGGCGGCAUGCUUUACACAUGCAAGUCGAACGGCAGCACGGGCUUCGGUCUGGUGGCGAGUGGCGAACGGGUGAGUAAUAUAUCGGAACGUACCCAAGAGUGGGGGAUAACGUAGCGAAAGUUACGCUAAUACCGCAUACGAUCUAAGGAUGAAAGUGGGGGAUCGCAAGACCUCAUGCUCCUGGAGCGGCCGAUAUCUGAUUAGCUAGUUGGUGAGGUAAAGGCUCACCAAGGCGACGAUCAGUAGCUGGUCUGAGAGGACGACCAGCCACACUGGAACUGAGACACGGUCCAGACUCCUACGGGAGGCAGCAGUGGGGAAUUUUGGACAAUGGGCGCAAGCCUGAUCCAGCAAUGCCGCGUGAGUGAAGAAGGCCUUCGGGUUGUAAAGCUCUUUUGUCAGGGAAGAAACGGUAGAGGCUAAUAUCCUUUGCUAAUGACGGUACCUGAAGAAUAAGCACCGGCU
rnacentral:rRNA from 1 species